CUUUAUGGCAGAUCGCGCGGGGAGGCCUUCUGGCCUGCCGGGUCCUGAUGCCGGUCUGUCAACCCCGCGUGGUCUGCCACCCUU
rnacentral:antisense_RNA from 1 species